rnacentral:lncRNA from 10 species
AUAUUUAAAGACCAGGCCUUGGACGCUGCAGCACUUCUAUCUCUGCUUGAUGCCUGCUGCCACGUGGCUGGUCCUCCUCCUCCUGCUGUGGCUGAGCCUUGGGGUGAAGACAGGCAGCUGCUCCCAACCCCAGAACCUUUGCUGUCUUGGGACGGAUCACCGCUGCAAGAGGGGAAGUUGCUACUGUGAUGAAUUCUGCCAUGUGGCACCAGACUGCCACCCAGACCACAGUGUCCUCUGCAACCCUGGUAACUCACAUACAGGCCCGAUUCCACCUACAGCAAAGCUGGAUGCGAUGGCUGGCAGAGGCAAACCCUUUGCCUGCACUUCAGGCCAAAGCCGGGAUGUGGCCUAGAUGGUUCCUAAGGUCCCUGACAAUCCUGAGAUCUUGCAUCUUGUCUAUUUCAGGUCAAAGCUUCUCAGAUGACCAAGAUGGUGCUGCAGAUGGUGCUGAGGAUGGAGAACCCACCAAGCCCCGCUAGGAGCCACCUAGACUGGAUGCAGAGCAUGUUUUAUUUGCUUCCAAGAAGGAAGGCAAGAUUUCCUGGGUCCGUGAUGAUGGAAGGCUGACAACUCUUUUAUGGAGUUUGAGCUUGCUCCCAGCAGGGAAGACAAGUUCGAGUUUUUUUCCUGCUUCAAGGAUGGUAGAGAGCAGUCUUCAGCCUGAGACCCAUCCCUAGGCCCCAGCACCCGCAGAGCAGACACUGCGAUGACAACGGACGACACAGAAGUGCCCGC